rnacentral:rRNA from 1 species
CCUACGGGUGGCUGCAGUGGGGAAUAUUGGACAAUGGGCGAAAGCCUGAUCCAGCCAUGCCGCGUGUAUGAAGAAGGCCUUCGGGUUGUAAAGCACUUUCAGUGGGGAAGAAAGCCUUGGGGCUAAUACCCUCGAGGAAGGACAUCACCCACAGAAGAAGCACCGGCUAACUCCGUGCCAGCAGCCGCGGUAAUACGGAGGGUGCGAGCGUUAAUCGGAAUUACUGGGCGUAAAGCGCGCGUAGGCGGUCUGAUAAGCCGGUUGUGAAAGCCCCGGGCUCAACCUGGGAACGGCAUCCGGAACUGUCAGGCUAGAGUGCAGGAGAGGAAGGUAGAAUUCCCGGUGUAGCGGUGAAAUGCGUAGAGAUCGGGAGGAAUACCAGUGGCGAAGGCGGCCUUCUGGACUGACACUGACGCUGAGGUGCGAAAGCGUGGGUAGCAAACAGGAUUAGAUACCCCGGUAGUC